AUUGAACGCUGGCGGCAGGCCUAACACAUGCAAGUCGAGCGGUAACAUGUCUAGCUUGCUAGAUGAUGACGAGCGGCGGACGGGUGAGUAAUGCUUGGGGAUCUGCCUUAGAGUGGAGGAUAACCAUUGGAAACGAUGGCUAACACUGCAUAGUAUCUGCGGAUUAAAGGGGGCUUCGGCUCUUGCUUUAAGAUGAACCCAAGUGGGAUUAGCUAGUUGGUGAGGUAAUGGCUCACCAAGGCGACGAUCCCUAGCUGGUCUGAGAGGAUGAUCAGCCACACUGGAACUGAGACACGGUCCAGACUCCUACGGGAGGCAGCAGUGGGGAAUAUUGCACAAUGGGCGAAAGCCUGAUGCAGCCAUGCCGCGUGUGUGAAGAAGGCCCUAGGGUUGUAAAGCACUUUCAGUCAGGAGGAAAGGUUAGUAGUUAAUACCUGCUAGCUGUGACGUUACUGACAGAAGAAGCACCGGCUAACUUCGUGCCAGCAGCCGCGGUAAUACGAGGGGUGCAAGCGUUAAUCGGAAUUACUGGGCGUAAAGCGAGCGUAGGCGGCUGAAUAAGCUGGAUGUGAAAAACCGGGGCUCAACCUCGGCCGUGCAUUCAGAACUGUUUAGCUAGAGUCCUGUAGAGGGGGGUAGAAUUUCA
rnacentral:rRNA from 1 species